GGGAGAUGGAAGGUGGCGUUCGGUACUGCUGCCGCACUACUCUUCUGCUGAAUAACAAGGUAAAAAUUCUCUGGUUCUGCGAGGAUCAUUGCUUGUCCUGCUGUUGCUUAGUUUCGUGCACCUGUAUACAUAAAGAUAGCAGUUAAUUUUUUUGGCAAAUCACUGAACUAUUGAAAACAAAUUGCAUAGACAAUAUUUCUUAAAUUUAAUUUUGGUCCACAGGCUUUUCCUUUCUCUUUCUCUAAAUUCAUGCUGCAAGAAAUAGUCUUCAAACAAAAGAGAAGAGAGAAUCUCGUACUUUGGCCUGAAGCUAUAAGCAAAACAAAGUGAAUUAUUUUUGUCUUGCUCUGUUAGGCUCAGUUUUGCCAUGACAAGGCUUAGGGGCAGACUAUCCCCAACGUGGGCAUGUAUUUGCCCAAACCAGUACUCUCAUGGUCAGUUGUAUGUUGCGCUAUCUAGGGCCACUGUUAGACCGAACAUCAAUAUCCUUGCAGUUCCACCCUGUAAAUCUUACAUUUAUAUUGCAUUACUAACUGCAUUUCAGCUAAUAGGAGUAUGAGAUAAAAGAUAUUUAGCAUUUGAUGACUUGUGGACAUGCUAUUAAUGGGAUUUACUGGUUAUAUAUAUAUUAAUGAGUAUCCGUUUGAAUUGUAAGACCUUGUGAUAUUUCUUGAAGAUUUAUAUAAGUUUGUAAUUUAUUGUGAUAAUCUUAGCAUUUAAAUGAUGCAAUUGACAUGACAUUAUUAAAAUCAUAUAUAGAAGUAUGUAUGAUACUGAUGGUUGCAAUGUAGUGGUGAAACAACUGGAUUAAAAUAACAAAAUUUAUGUAUGGAUAGGAUCACAAAUGGAUUACGAAAUCUUUUCUCAUAACAGUAUAACACACAUUUGUACAUAAGUUAUUAUGGUAUUAUAUGUUUUCGUUGCAACGUACGGACACUCACCUAGUAGAUACAUUGGUUUCAUAUAUCUCUACUACUCUAUAAGACAAUAGUGUAGACGUACACACACAUUUUGGUGCACGGUUCUGCCUGCAGUGCCCGCUCUCUCUCGCGCCCCCGCUCUCUGCGCCCCCGACCCUGCCCGCAUCGCCAUCCCCGCGCGCAAUCCCCGCUCGGCUGCUCCAAGGAAGGAAGGGCGUCGUGUGGAGAUCGCCAUCCCCGCUGGGGCGUUCCUCCCCACCGCCGCCGCAAUGGAAGGGCGUCUGUACCAUUCGCUUCCCCGGCAGCCCUUCCUUCCUCGACAGCCUGCCCCCGCCAGCUCCGCGCACCCCGCCAGCCGUCACAGUGAUGCCGCCCUUCCUUCCCUGGUAGCCCGCCACCUCCGCGCCCCCACCAAACCGGAAGGCGAGAUCCGCUGCCAGCUCCGCGCUCCGCGCGCCCCGCCAGCCGUCACAAUGAUGUCGCGCAAGUCGGGGAAGGAAGGCCGCGCGAGUCGCCUCCGGGAAACCUGCCAGGCAUCACUGUGCCCGCCGCCGAGAUACCCGCGUCCGCCGCCGCGUAAUCCCCGCCUUCCCCCUGCUCAGCCCCUCCGUGCCCCCGCCCACGCGCCCCAUUCCCUCCCCCGUAGCCGCAGCCCCCGCUGCCCAGCCCCACUGGAAAUCCCAUCCUGCCGCUCCCCACCCCACCGAUGGAGACAAAGCGCGAUGCCUCCCUCCAAAGCCGUCCACCUCCCCCUCCCGCAUCGCAUAGCACACACACACACCCUGCGCCAAUGCCAUUUCCGUGCUUGGAUAGAUCGCAGAUCUACGAGGUAGCAUCAGAUGGCUCUGUAGGGAUUGGAGGCAAGGAUGGAGGCGUCGGCGGGGGUGGUGAGGAUGAAGGCGACUAUGAUGAGGCGGAACCCGGGCGACAUGAUGGAGGCGAGCCGGUGCCGGUGACGAGGAUCCCACGGCCAUGGACGUCGUCAGGACAUAGCUGAUGCCGGAGGAGGAGGCGCUCCGGCUCUGCAUCGGCUGCGUCCACUUCUAGACUUCCUUGCCUCGCUUGUCACCUACAGGAAGCGAUGCCCACCUUGGAAGAAUUUUGGGAUGAGGAGCCUAGCGGAUACCACCCAACAACCACGUAAAACUGUUCGGCCUGACUUUUUUCAUUGUUUUGAUGAGUUUACAUUACAAGUUGCUUUUCUUAAAUCAAGAAAAGGUUUUGUCAAGAUAGCUAUACAGUCUGGAUGUCCUUUAGUCCCAGUUUUCUGCUUUGGGCAGAGCUAUGCAUACAAGUGGUGGAGGCCUGGUGGUAAAUUGUUUAUCAAGAUCGCUAGAGCAGUUAAAUUUACUCCUAUUAUCUUCUGGGAUAGAUUUGGCAGGAUCAAGGUCGUUGUCGUCUCCAGGUCCAUCAAAUGCGACAAGGUCGAGCGCACGCAAUUCAGCUCCGAAGUCAUCUCCUUUCAACAGAAAGAUGCAAGUAACACCAAGUCACUUGCCUUUGAUGGUUGAUACAUUUCACUGUAUAUCAUUGCACGACAGAUCCAUUUAGUACCUUUUUCUGAGUUAAACUACUUCAAACAUUGCUGAAGACUACAACCAGCCUACAGUUGUUGUAAUUGAAGCGGGUCAAGACAUAGCAUUUGCAAAGAUUUAGUUCAUUCUCAUCACUCUGCAAUAUUCGGGUUCUCUACUAUGUGUAAUCUCAUAUCAAGAUUAAUGAGUAUCGUGAUCGUAUAAUUUUGAAUCCUAUCAACCCAUAUGGCAAGGCAAAGAAAAUGACAGUGGACAUCAUUCUAGAUUUUACAAAAUCAAAGGAGCAACCAGACAUGGCUGUCAUGAUCUAAGAUACUUCAACGUGAUUGGAUCGAACCCAAACAUAUGACUAGGAGAAGCUCCAAGGCCACUUUGUCAAGGGUCUCUGCAAUGCACCUACUGGUGCAUGAUUUACUGGAGGUUGUGCGCAUGAAUGUGCCACACAUUGGUAUGGGGGUUGGAGUUGAAGCAGGUGAUUUUCACCAACAUUGGUUUGCGAACUGGAGUUGAAGCAGGAGACAUGAUUGUUAUUCCUAUCAUGUGCACACUGCCUCCUCGCUGUCAUUUGUCGUCACUCUCGUAGUCCUGAUACCGGAGCAUGGUUGCCAGGGGAGAGCAGUCCAAGGCAAAUUUGCCAUGUUGGAGCAGUCACAGGAGCCAAGGGGCUGCAGUCACAGGUCCUGCUAGCCAGGAUGGAGCAAUCAUAGGACCUCCUAGCAGUCCAAGGAAAAUUUGCGAGGUGGAGUAGUUGCAACUUUUGAAACCCACGUGAUAACAUGCUCAAGCGUUCGUAUGAUAAAAAAGAUGGCACAUAAUCAAAAGAAGAUCUCAUGUUCUGCGUUUGUGAACCUGUUUGUAUUUUUUGAACUUGUUUUGUGAACCUCUAUUUGUAAACCUGUAAAAUCUGAGGUUGUGAAUAGAUUUGGGUAACUUCAUACAAGUGGUGGAGGCCUGGUGGUAAUCCUGGAUGCAUAUAAAGCGAGGCAUGCAAUAUCCAUAGCACUCGUUUGACAGAAGGCAACACCAUCAACCUUGUCCUCCACCUUUAAACUAGCAUGAGCACCAUCCUUCUUCACAUUUAUAUUCAUGUCCCCUAUACGUUCCUCAAAUACGUUUGAACCAUGUGUACCACUAUGUGAACCAACUGAGUUCGUAGACUGAUCAAUGAGUCACCUUAUUGUGGACGCAGCUCUAAAAAAUGUUGUAUCUACAAAUAGAUUGUGUAAACGAAAA